rnacentral:rRNA from 1 species
AUGUGUGUCCCAAAAGACCAAAGAGGUAUGGGUUCGCGAGAUGUACACUGUUUCAAUAUGGCAUUGUUAGCCAAACAAGCGUGGAGUUUGCUUGAUAAUCCCGAGUCUUUAUGUGCUACUAUCUUGAGAGCUAAAUAUUCCCCGGAGGGCGAUUUAAUAAGUGCAACUCUAAAAAAGGUUCCUCUUUUACUUGGUAAAGUAUUAUGGCGGGAGUGA